UGCUGGGCAGCACGAGUUUGUACGGUCUCUUGUGCACGGGACGUUGAGGUGAGUAGAUGUGUUUAUGUGCCUAUGUCCCUAUGUGAGUAUUGUGUGUGAAAUAGUGAGCCUGCGUAUAGUUUAUAUUGUAUUAUAUGGUAUUGUAUUGAAUAUGUGUGUCGGUAACUGUGAGCCUGUAAUUGUGAACCUGUGCGUGUAACCCUGAGUACGUAAGUAGUUCCAGGGGGUUUAGCCUGUGUAUGUAAGCCAGUGUCUAGCUGUGAGCCUGUGCGUAUUGUAUUAUAUUGUAUUUUAUGUGCGUUCAACACGUAUUUACCUGGAAGGCCAUUCCCAGAAGAUAUAAGUGAGUCUGUGACUGUGUAUGUAAGCCGGUGACUGUGUGUUUAAGUACGUGUUUGCCUGGAAGUGUAUUCCCAGAAGUACAUGUAUAGUGCCAUUUCGUGACGUGGACGAGCCGACGAGUGUACCCGACGAGCCGACGCGUGAAGCCGACAAGUUCCCUCGAAGACGACGAGGACGAUUGGUGCCGUCCAGAUGUGGAUUCCAGUCGAUGCCCAUACGUUGCGCAGAAAGAGAGGUCGGACGAAAGCUGGCCGGCAUGCAGACCUGACUUUGAGGUGUUAGGUCAAGGUGCUUACGCGAGGGGCACUAUUACUUCAUCGGUAGCUCCGGUACGAUUCCUUCGCUGUGUGGCGUCGUCCCAAAAGGAGAAAAGUGGGAGGAGUGUUGUGCCGGUGCCCGGCCUACAAAACGCGCACAUACCUCGUGACUGGGAACCAGCGACAAAUCGAUAUAGUGCAUGCUGGGCAGCACGAGUUUGUACGGUCUCUUGUGCACGGGACGUUGAGGUGAGUAGAUGUGUUUAUGUGCCUAUGUCCCUAUGUGAGUAUUGUGUGUGAAAUAGUGAGCCUGCGUAUAGUUUAUAUUGUAUUAUAUGGUAUUGUAUUGUAUAUGUGUGUCGGUAACUGUGAGCCUGUAAUUGUGAACCUGUGCGUGUAACCCUGAGUACGUAAGUAGUUCCAGGGGGUUUAGCCUGUGUAUGUAAGCCAGUGUCUAGCUGUGAGCCUGUGCGUAUUGUAUUAUAUUGUAUUUUAUGUGCGUUCAACACGUAUUUACCUGGAAGGCCAUUCCCAGAAGAUAUAAGUGAGUCUGUGACUGUGUAUGUAAGCCGGUGACUGUGUGUUUAAGUACGUGUUUGCCUGGAAGUGUAUUCCCAGAAGUACAUGUAUAGUGCCAUUUCGUGACGUGGACGAGCCGACGAGUGUACCCGACGAGCCGACGCGUGAAGCCGACAAGUUCCCUCGAAGACGACGAGGACGAUUGGUGCCGUCCAGAUGUGGAUUCCAGUCGAUGCCCAUAAAAUAAAAUAUUCACCACCACCUGGUUUGCCAACAUUGUCUUUACAAGGAAUGUCCAGCAGUGCAUGACAGAGGCCGGUCACUCCCAUUAAGUCCAGCUGAAGAGCCUUCCCAGUUCAUAGGACAAAAUGCAGUUACACAGAUUUUAACGGUGUUGGAAACAAUGAGAGACGAGAACAGGGAAAUGAAGUGGAUGCUGCAGCGGCUCUUGGCUAGGUCAGCUUCUGAUGACGAGCCAAUGCAACUGCCAGAGAACAUCAGUCUACCAAUUGGAACACUUGAGCAAAUGGAUGAGUUUGAAGAGCAUCUUGGUGAUGAAGCUACAAUCCAUCUUUUCUAGGACUGCUGCAUAGUUCAAGCUUUUUUAUCAAAUAUAUUAAGCAAUGUUGUAAAUGUAUUUGACAGUUCUUUCUCCAUUGAUCCUAAACCAUUCCUUUAAGGCUCAUCUUCUAAGAAAGCAUACAAUCUUUUUUAUCUGGAAAUGAAAUGGUAUAUAUUCCUUUGCAAAAGAAGAAACAGCAUUCCAGUUUUUGAAGGUUUUAAAAGACAUAUAUCUAUAUAUAUCAUGUGCAAUUAUGAAAUACACUAGAAUGUAUGAAGAUAUCAAAGAUAAUAAUAUGGACUUGUUCUCGAACAAGGAUUUGCCAUUUAUUUGAGUUUUGGAUUUUUUUGCAGGGUUUUUAAUUUCUAGUUUUUAUUUAAUGCUUUCCGGUGGUUUAUAGAGAAAUAUCAGUGAAUUAAAACUGGUUCAAACAGUGAAAAUUAUCAGUGAGAAUUAUCGAUAAUUUUCAUUGUUUACUGUGAAAUGAUGUCAUUUUUUGACGAAAUGACGUCAUUAUCCUUGCUAAAUUCUUUAGUUAAACUCUUUAACAAUGUAUAUAAACGGUGAAAAAUGCAUUAAAUAAAAAGAAAAUUUGUUGGAUUUGGUGGAUUAUCGAUUUUAAUUAACUCGUGUUCAUAGAGAAUAUAUAUUUUCUAUGAUCACUCGUGAAUUAAAAUCGAUAAUCCACCGGAUCCAACGAAUAUCCUCUAUAUAAAAUAUUUUGUUUAGUCUUGCAAGUAUGUUUUCUACAAAUGUUCUUUGAGUACAUGGUGUAUUAUUUGUAUUGGUUAAAGAUUUUAUAUGCUUUUGAGUAAUGUGUAGUACAUCAGGAAAAUACUUGAAGGUAUUCUGUAUAUGUAAUAUAUAUUUAUUAUCAAAAUAAUAGAAGUCCUUAAUUCUAUAGUUGUAUAACUGGUCAACAUAUAUAAUGUUAUAGAAAAACGUCUUAUUGUUUGAAGUUAUGUCUUUAUUGUUCCAUGAAAUAGUUUUACUGUUGGUUUGGGUUUAUAGAUUAUGAGUUUCAUUACUCCAUGCGGAUAGAACAUUAGAUAGAAACAUGUGUUUGUAAGCAACUUCAUGUAAAAGCGGAUAGAACAUUAGAUAGAAACAUGUUUUCGUUAGCAACUUCAUGUAAAAUAUUUUUGCUGAUGUUACAUUCAAAAAGUUAGGAAUCACCAUAUUAUUUUAGAAUUCUCUGGUAGAAUAGUUAACUUGGGAUCCUCCUGCUAUGUAUGUAUGUAUCCAUGUAUAUGUGUGUAAUACUUUAUGUGAAUAAAAGUUGAGAGUA